GCAUGGAUGAAUUCUGUUCCAACUCAGUGGUGGACGCAGCCAGACACCAUGCAAGAGUAUUUCUCAAUUUCUAUGAAAAAAUAAUGGAUGUGCUGUGCUCGGCUUCAUCCUGCGUAGAAAUGAGGACAAUU